rnacentral:rRNA from 1 species
GGGCCCGCACAAGCGGAGGAGCAUGUGGUUUAAUUCGAUGAUACGCGAGGAACCUUACCAGGGCUUAAAUGGGAGACGACAGUUUGGGAAACCAGAUUUUCUUCGGACGUCUUUCAAGGUGCUGCAUGGUUGUCGUCAGCUCGUGCCGUGAGGUGUCAGGUUAAGUCCUAUAACGAGCGCAACCCCUAUUGUUAGUUGCCAGCGGGUCAUGCCGGGAACUCUAACAAGACUGCCGGUGCAAACCGUGAGGAAGGUGGGGAUGACGUCAAAUCAUCACGGCCCUUACGUCCUGGGCUACACACGUGCUACAAUGGACGGUACAGAGAGCAGCCACUACGCAAGUAGGAGCGAAUCUUCAAAGCCGUUCUCAGUUCGGAUCGGAGUCUGCAACUCGACUCCGUGAAGCUGGAUUCGCUAGUAAUCGCAUAUCAGCCAUGAUGCGGUGAAUACGUUCCCGGGCCUU